UACGUAGGGGUCGAGCGUUGUCCGGAGUUACUGGGCGUAAAGCGUGUGCAGGCGGCUCAUUGCGCCCGGCGUGAAAGCCCCCGGCUCAACCGGGGAGAGUCGUCGGGGACGGGUGAGCUUGAGGGUAUCAGGGGCUGGUGGAAUUCCCGGUGUAGUGGUGAAAUGCGUAGAUAUCGGGAGGAACACCCGUGGCGAAGGCGGUCUGCUGGGCCGUUGCUGACGCUGAGGCGCGACAGCGUGGGGAGCAAACAGG
rnacentral:rRNA from 1 species